rnacentral:tRNA from 1 species
UAGAAUGAAGCUCACUGGAUGGAGUGUUUAGCUGUUAACUAAAAUUUUACGGGAUCAAGGCCCGUCUUUCUAG